UAUCACUGAUAGUUAUAAAGAUUUGAAAUACUUGCAAACUGAAUCUGAAGUUUUAAAAAGGAUAACAAAAUACUGAUUUGUUGGAUUUAUCCUAUGAAUUUAAUGAUGGUUUUAUAUCAUAUAAACUGACUGCAGGCUGGAUGUGAUGGCCUGUCUCCAGAAGAAAAAAAAAAGCAAAUGCAAUGUUUCAUUAACGGAUUAAUGUAGUUAAGAGAUAACCCUCUCAGGCAGCAGCAACGCGGAGGAAACCGGAGUGAACCGAGAGCUUAGUGACCAACAUGAGCCUCCUCAACAAGCCCAAGAGUGAAAUGACCCCGGAGGAGCUGCAGAAGCGAGAGGAGGAGGAAUUUAACACGGGUCCACUCUCUGUGCUCACUCAGUCCGUCAAAAACAACACCCAAGUGCUUAUCAACUGCCGCAACAAUAAGAAACUCCUGGGCCGCGUGAAGGCCUUCGAUAGGCAUUGCAACAUGGUGCUGGAGAACGUGAAGGAGAUGUGGACUGAGGUACCCAAGAGCGGCAAGGGCAAGAAGAAGUCUAAGCCAGUCAACAAAGACCGCUAUAUCUCCAAGAUGUUCCUGCGCGGGGACUCAGUCAUUGUGGUCCUGCGGAACUCGCUCAUCGCCGGCAAGUAGGAGCCACCUAUCCCUGUCAGUCGACAGAACUCACUCCCCGGUCCUACAGAGACCGCUGCCGCUGGUGUUGAGAACAAUAAAGCUCUGUGUUUUUUUUUCUAGUGGAAAAAAAAAAA